UGGGGAAUCUUGGACAAUGGGGGCAACCCUGAUCCAGCCAUGCCGCGUGAGCGAUGAAGGCCUUAGGGUUGUAAAGCUCUUUCACCGGUGAAGAUAAUGACGGUAGCCGGAGAAGAAGCCCCGGCUAACUCCGUGCCAGCAGCCGCGGUAAUACGGAGGGGGUUAGCGUUGUUCGGAAUUACUGGGCGUAAAGCGCACGUAGGCGGACCAGAAAGUUGGGGGUGAAAUCCCGGGGGCUCAACCCCGGAACUGCCUCCAAAACUAUUGGUCUAGAGUUCGAGAGAGGUGAGUGGAAUUCCAAGUGUAGAGGUGAAAUUCGUAGAUAUUUGGAGGAACACCAGUGGCGAAGGCGGCUCACUGGCUCGAUACUGACGCUGAGGUGCGAAAGUGUGGGGAGCAAACAGGAUUAGAUACCCUGGUAGUCCACACCGUAAAACGAUGAAUGCCAGUCGUCGGGUAGCAUGCUAUUCGGUGACACACCUAACGGAUUAAGCAUUCCGCCUGGGGAGUACGGUCGCAAGAUUAAAACUCAAAGGAAUUG
rnacentral:rRNA from 1 species